rnacentral:lncRNA from 1 species
ACAUAAAACAAAAUUACAUCAAGAGCGUGUCCAUUAUCACAUUCACUUCAGGGAAUGGAUCAUAAUCAUCUGUAUGUGCCAUAUAUAAUCUCAUGUCAAAUAUUACUUUCAUAAAGUGAAAGAUUAUUUUGAGAAUCUUUAUUAUUCUCAUUAUCACAAUGAUGAUGAUUAUAAUUCCNNNNNNNNNNNNNNNNNNAAAGAUUAUUUUGAGAAUCUUUAUUAUUCUCAUUAUCACAAUGAUGACGAUUAUAAUUCCGUCUAUUGCCACGUCCACAUCCAUUGAUACCUUCACGGUUAUAAUUUUGUCUUCUUUCAGACUUAUCACAUACUGCUAUCCUUUCUUUUCAGUAGUGCUCCUUUCCCAUCACAAUAUUUUUAGUAAUAAACAUCACGAGACAAAUUUGACAAGUAAUUAACGCAAAAAAGAUUUGAAAGUUAUAAACAUCUAAAUAUAUUUCAUUUAUAUGUUCAUUGGUCAUAGUAAUAAACUAGUUGAAUUAUUA